rnacentral:tRNA from 1 species
GGGCUUAUCGUUUAAUGGAUAGGACAGAAACCUUCUAAGUUUCUAAUCUAGGUUCGAUUCCUAGUGAGCUCA